CUUGUACUCCCUUCGUCCGGAAAUACUUGUCGUAGAAAUGGAUACAAAUGAAUGUAUCUAGAACUAAAAUACAUCUAGAUACAUCCAUUCCUCGGACAAGUAUUUCCGGACGGAGGGAGUAUCUG
rnacentral:pre_miRNA from 1 species